AGCCAUGGGAGGGAAGGGUAUUUUGCACCAAGAGAAGAGAAAUCAAGUGAGAGAAAGUUAGAGAGAAAUUUUUAGUUGCAAGAAGGGUAGAGGUUCUGAAAGGUUUCGAAGAAAUAAAUUCAGAGCAAGAGACGUCUGGAAUAGAGAUGAAGGAAUGUCGUCUGAUCCAAUGCCAAUGAAGAGAGAGACAGAAGAAUAAGUUAGAAGAAUUCGAAUUAUAUUUAUGAGUUUAUAGUUGAAAUAUGAAUUUAAAACAUGUGUAGACAUAUAUUAACUAUGCAUUUAUAAGUGUGAGA
rnacentral:sRNA from 1 species